AAUUAUUUCAUUUAUUUAUUUACUUCAGACUUGCAUCUAGCUCUACAGUCAAAAUAGCUACAUCUAGCGACUCAGAGAAAGAAACAACCUGGAAGCUGUGUUCUCAGCAGUACAAACACACUUUGCUUUUUUUAAUGUUUUUGUGGUUUUUUUGUUUUUGUUUUUUUUUUCGCCUCUCUUCACUGAAGCACUGCUGCACAACCCUGAAGAAAACCCAUUUCUAAGCACUAAUACACGCGUUAAUUUGCUCAAUUUGCUCUCAGAAGGCCCGGACAGCUGCAGGAAGCCUACCAGCCACCCCCACUCACAGCUGACACCCCCCGCCGCGCUCAGCAGGCACAGCACCGCGUUCCGAGCCGCGCGAGCCCGUUGGCUCUCGUGCACUGUAUGUACUGCAACUGAAGCCACCGAGUUGUUUUUUUUUUCCAGUCCGAAAAAAAAACCGCCGCAACAUCAUUCUGGAAUGGAAACGCGCGGUACUCACGUGGUCUAGGCGGAGCAGCGUGCCUCGGAGAACCGACGGAAGAAACAUCUCCUUGUUUCCAGGAAAGCGUAAUCCCUUCGGCUCCUACAGCGGGAGCACGGAGAGGGACCGGGAAAGAGCACGCCUUCUCUAAGCCAGAGGGGCGGGGGCACGCGGGCGGUGAGGGGCGCGCGGCCCCCGGGACAGCGGGGAGGGACCGCCUGGGCGGUGCUGGAGGGAGGGGCGCGUGCAGGAGUGCUGGCAACGGACCGGGCUGGUCCCGGGCACUGCCCAGCUGCUCCCUCACGAAACACGUGCUGCAUCAGCUUUGUCUCAGCGGGCGAAGGCUCCGCGUCUUGUACCAGUUAAUCAGAAGGCUCUUGCUGUUACUUUUCCAGGGCUGUCAGGUGCAGCUGGAGGGGCAGCUCUGGAAGCGUACUCCGCCGGGCGCGUGGCCAGAACCGCUCCGCGCCUCUGGGAAAGGCAGAUUCGUUCGCCCUCGGCGAACACGUAGUAAAACAAGUGAAUUCCCGGUUACUCGACUGCUGUGCUUCCCUAAACGCCGGUGCCACGGUGAGCUGCCCGAGGGAAGAGCAGAGGCUUCUCAUCCCUUGGGAUGUGCCCAGGCGGACCUCGUUUGGAGAGCUCCGAACCCGCGGGCCGAGGACAGUGGUUGAGACAUACAGAUGUACUUGUACUUAUGACAAUGAAGACAAAAAAAAAACCACUCAGGAGAUAAAUGAACACUGAGGAGAAAAAGGACAUGAAAGGUAAGCUACUACAGCACUGUAGAAGUUAAAGCUUUCAAUUUGUCAAUCAAAAGUAGUCAUAUAUAUAGUAGAUAACUCAUUAACAAAAGUAUUUCCUGACUUUUUUGCUGGAUGUACGUAUGGAAUCUUGAGGGAUGCAAGUGCUUCUAAACUUCCGUCGCAUUUGGCUUACAUUUCUUUUAUGCUAUUGUGGAUUGGGUUCAUUCAUGUAUAAAACAACAUGUUUGAGUUAUUGAUGGGACUUGGAUGAAGGAAUUAAUGUUAUAGUCUUGUUAUUG
rnacentral:lncRNA from 1 species